rnacentral:tRNA from 1 species
UCCUUGGGAGCUCAGUGGUAAAGAAUCUGCCUGCCAAGCAGGAGAUGUGGGUUCGAUUCCUGGAUGAGGAA